UGUAGUCAUAUGCUUGUCUCAAAGAUGAAGCCAUGCAUGUCUAAGUAUAAGCAAUCUAUACAGUGAAACUGCGAAUGGCUCAUUAAAUCAGUUAUCGUUUAUUUGAAUAGUACCUUACUACUUGGAUAACCGUGGUAAUUCUAGAGCUAAUACAUGCUAAAAAUCCCGACCUCUGGAAGGGAUGUAUUUAUUAGAUAAAAAACCAAUGCCUUCGGGCUCCUUGGUGAUUCAUGAUAACUUAACGGAUCGCAUGGCCUUGCGCCGGCGACGGUUCAUUCAAAUUUCUGCCCUAUCAACUUUCGAUGGUAGGAUAGUGGCCUACCAUGGUUUCAACGGGUAACGGGGAAUUAGGGUUCUAUUCCGGAGAGGGAGCCUGAGAAACGGCUACCACAUCCAAGGAAGGCAGCAGGCGCGCAAAUUACCCAAUCCCGAUACGGGGAGGUAGUGACAAUAAAUACUGAUACAGGGCUCUUUUGGGUCUUGUAAUUGGAAUGAGUACAAUUUAAAUCUCUUAACGAGGNACAAUUGGAGGGCAANUCUGGUGCCAACAGCCGCGGUAAUUCCACCUCCAAUAGCGUAUAUUAAAGUUGUUGCAGUUAAAAAGCUCGUANUUGAAACCUUGGGCCUGGCUGCUCGGUCCGCCUAACCGCGUGCACUGAUGCGGCCGGGCCUUUCCUUCUGGCUAACCUCAUGCCCUUCACUGGGUGUGCUGGGGAUCCAGGAACUUUUACUUUGAAAAAAUUAGAGUGUUCAAAGCAGGCCUAUGCUCGGAUACAUUAGCAUGGAAUAAUAGAAUAGGACGGCGGUUCUAUUUUGUUGGUUUCUAGAGCCACCGUAAUGAUUAAUAGGGAUAGUCGGGGGCAUCAGUAUUCAAUUGUCAGAGGUGAAAUUCUUGGAUUUAUUGAAGACUAACUACUGCGAAAGCAUUUGCCAAGGAUGUUUUCAUUAAUCAGUGAACGAAAGUUAGGGGAUCGAAGACGAUCAGAUACCGUCGUAGUCUUAACCAUAAACUAUGCCGACUAGGGAUCGGGCGGUGUUUAACUUAUGACCCGCUCGGCACCUUACGAGAAAUCAAAGUUUUUGGGUUCUGGGGGGAGUAUGGUCGCAAGGCUGAAACUUAAAGGAAUUGACGGAAGGGCACCACCAGAUGUGGAGCCUGCGGCUUAAUUUGACUCAACACGGGGAAACUCACCAGGUCCAGACACAUUAAGGAUUGACAGAUUGAGAGCUCUUUCUUGAUUAUGUGGGUGGUGGUGCAUGGCCGUUCUUAGUUGGUGGAGUGAUUUGUCUGCUUAAUUGCGAUAACGAACGAGACCUUAACCUGCUAAAUAGCCAGGCGAGCGUUUGCUCGUCGCCGGCUUCUUAGAGGGACUAUCGGCUCAAGCCGAUGGAAGUUUGAGGCAAUAACAGGUCUGUGAUGCCCUUAGAUGUUCUGGGCCGCACGCGCGCUACACUGACAGGGCCAACNAAUUCUAACCUUGGCCGAGAGGUCUGGGUAAUCUUGUUAAACCCUGUCGUGCUGGGGAUANANCAUUGCNAUUAUUGCUCUUCA
rnacentral:rRNA from 1 species